UACGUAGGGCGCAAGCGUUGUCCGGAAUUACUGGGCGUAAAGAGCUCGUAGGCGGUUUGUCGCGUCGUCUGUGAAAUUCUGCAACUCAAUUGUAGGCGUGCAGGCGAUACGGGCAGACUUGAGUACUACAGGGAGACUGGAAUUCCUGGUGUAGCGGUGAAAUGCGCAGAUAUCAGGAGGAACACCGAUGGCGAAGGCAGGUCUCUGGGCCAUUACUGACACUGAGAAGCGAAAGCAUGGGGAGCGAACAGG
rnacentral:rRNA from 1 species